CAAGAUGAAGCAGUGUCACACAGCCCUGUCCCCCACAGUCUUCCUCGCCCGGGGUCUUGUCCCUGUCUCCUUAUACCACCACCCCCAUGAAGCUUACAUGUGCACCUGCACAGCCCCGUGUCGCACUACUGCAGUGGGAGUGAGCCCUUGUGGGGAGGUGACAAUGGCCCACAUAUCCCUCAGUGUGGGGGGGAGUGGGAGUGUGGGUUCUGGGACCACUGCGUGUGAACACCUGCAGCUCAGGAGUCCAAAUGCCAAAUUGUGAGUGGCAUUCCAUUUGAGGACUCAGGAACCCAGGCUGCUCCAUCCUCUAUCUCCAGGGGUGCUGGAGUCUUUCACUUCUAGCCAGUGCACCAGGCAAAAGAAUAGAAUUGCCUGCAGGAGAAUUUCCAUACUAGGCCUGGAAGGGACACCCACUUCCACUCACCUCCCAUUGGCUAGAACUCAGGCGCACAGCCACGGAUAUUGCCACAGAGGCUGAGAGGUGGGGAUAGCUCUGUGCCCAGGGAGAAGAGAGAACAGUUUCUAUAAGUACGUAGCUGUUUAUGUCACGGUAUUUCAAAAAGGGUGUGUUCCAUAAAAUAGAUGAAACUCCAACUAAAAACCAGAUCACAUUAAAAGGUAAUUAUGUUUA